UUUUUUUUUUUGAUGUUCCACUCACGAUUCUGCUUGGAUUUGUGAUCCAAUGUUGUAGCUGUCUUCACCGGAGCCGCCAUCUUUUGCGGCUGUGGCUGCCUCUACAGCUGCCUGUACCGUGCAAAGCUGCGCCACAAGUAUGGACUCCCCGAGGAGCCCUGCAACGACAUCUGCACCGAGUGCUGGUGCAACUGCUGCUCCAUUGCCCAGGCUUACAGGGAGCUCAGGAACCGCAACAUCAACCCGGCUCUGGGUAUGAUUUCUGGGGCCUUGGUGAUCUUUGUUUCCUGAUUUCUGAAAAUGGUGAUUUUUCAGGGUACGAGUUUGCGAGGGCGGUGUACGAGCAGCCACCUCAAGUGCAGGAGAUGCGCAAAAUUUGAGCUACGGAAAUUAGUUUUUAAAAUCUUCAACUUGAAAAUGCUUCUUCGGGGUUUUCAAGAACGCCAUGUUGCAUUCGUGAUCGGAAGGAUUUCUUCCUCGUGACAUUGGAAAAUAAUAGAAUAAAUUUCUAAACAUCUCAUCUAGAAUUAUUUAAUGUCCUAAAAAGAACAUAUACUGGAAUAUAUUCUGGAAGAGCUUGUCGUCAACACGAUUGAGGAGCUGGAUCAGGAAGUCGUGAAUGGACGGAGGUUGCUGUUCUCCAGUUAUUUACCAGUCGGACCUCUGGUACCUGCGGAGCUUCUGCAAGAACAGCACCCGAUCACUCUCAGUUCUCCAAAUGACACUAGCAUGAUCUGGCUGGACAAACAAGCUUACGGCUCGGUUCUGUAUAUCGCUUUUGGAAGUGUUGUUACUCUGCCAGCCGACCAAGUGGAGAAAAUUGCAAGAGCUGUAAAAGCUACCCGUCAGCCAGUCUUGUGGGCGAUCAGGAGGAACUUUGCAAAAGACGUACCUGAGAACUUUUAUGAAAGCUUGCAAGAGAUAGUUAAAAGUUUAUGGUGGUGGAACCUUGCCACCACCAUAAACUGGUGGUGGAAUGGGCUCCGCAAGUAAACGUCUUGCGCCACUCCGCGGUUGGAGCCUUCUUAAUGCACGGUGGAUGGAACUCAGCUCUAGAAGCCCUGUGCUGUGGAGUGCCAAUGCUUUGCUGGCCCUGCGCUAGCGAUCAGAACUUGAAUGCUCUCACGAUAGUGAAGAAGUGGAGAACUGGGAUAAUGGUGGCUCGGCGCCGGCGCUACGCCCGCUAGGGUGUGGUGAUCGAUGGCAGCGGAGGGCGCUUGCGGUGCCAUCGGCGGCGAGAGCGCGCCAUGCCAAUGCGCUGGUUGCGCGAUCCGAGUAAGAUUCGCUCUAGAGAUCCGCUCGCGAGAAUGUGGCUGGGGAUUUGGCUUCCAGCGAAAAGAUUUGCAAUUUUCAACAUCAAACAUAGCUCCGAUGACCGGUAACAGCAUGCGCAGCAGCAACGAUCUCGCCAAGGGGGAUCCCGGCGAGCUCGUGGAGAAGAUCCGCCUGGCAGCGUGGGCCAUGGCAGUCUCUGUGCGAGAGAUUAUCCGGAAGCUCCAGGAGGAAGGGAACCCCGUUUGCUGCAUGAUCACGGACACCUUCAACGGAUUCACCCAGGAUCUGGCGGACGAAUUCGGUAUCCCCAGGGCGGUGUUCUGGACCUCCAACGCGAUCAACGACAUUUAUCACCUCUUCCUGCCGGAGCUCAUCUCCAAAGGAUUCGUGCCAGUCGCGAAUAAGUUCUCCCUCCCCUGUUUUUGGGGUUCUAAGGAAACUCCCCCUUCUUCGAGCCAGGAAAACGGACGAGCUCAUCACAUUCCUGCCUGGCUGCCCGCCAAUGCCCGCCACAGAUCUGCCUCUAUCCUUCUACUACGAUCACCCAAUCCUGGGCAUGGUCUGCGACGGCGCGUCGCGGUUCGCGGAGGCGAUAUUCGCUCUGUGCAACACCUACGAGGAGCUGGAGCCACACGCAGUGGCGACGCUGCGCAGCGAGAUGAAAUCCACCUACUUCCCCAUCGGCCCGUGCCUCUCCCCGGCAUUCUUCGCGGGGGACUCGACAGCGGUGGAGCGAUCCAGCGAGCUCCUGUCUCCCGAGGAUCUGGCGUGCCUGGAGUGGCUCGACACACAGAAGGAAUCCUCCGUGAUCUACGUCUCCUUCGGCAGCGUGGCCACCAUGUCCGUGGAGCAAUUCCAGGAGCUCGCCAGGGGCCUGGAGCGCAGCAACCAGCCAUUCGUGCUGGUGCUGCGCAAGACCCUCGUCGCGGAUCCCUCGGUGCACGAUUUCUUCGAGGGAUUGAAGCAGCGGAUCGGCGAGCGCGGGAUCGUGAUCUCGUUGGCGCCGCACGUCUUGCUCCACCCGGCGGUGGGAGGAUUCCUGACGCACUGCGGAUGGAACACGACCGUGGAGGGGAUCUGCGAGGCCGUGCCGAUGCUCGCCUGGCCUUGCAUGGCGGAGCAAAACGUGAACUGCAAGGAGCUUGUGGAGCACUGGAAGCUGGCGAUCCCGGUCCAGGAUGAUCGGGAUAAAAGCUCCGUGAUCUCGGUCUCGAGCGAGAGGCUGGCGGAUCUAGUGGCGAGGCUGAUGAGAGGCGACGAGGGUCGCGAGAUGCGAGCCCGGGCUCGGGGAUUCCGCAAGGCUACUGCGGCUGCCAUAGCCGAGGGAGGAUCCUCGGACAGGAACCUCAAGGCCUUCGCCCAAGCUCUGAGAGAUCUGUGAUCUCUUGGACGCGACAAUUAGAAUCAAUCAAUGGGUUAGUGAGAUUGAAAGUUUUAAUAAGCCAAUUUGUGCUGCCUCUAUGCGGUCUUUCACUCCCUCUUUUCCAUGUGUUUUUUAGAUGGAGAGCAUAACUUAAGUACUUGGACAUGUUUUUGGAACAGAUUCUUGGGGUUGGGUUUCCAAAAACCAUGUUGCCAAUGCACAAAACUGUGCCGGAGUGUCGAACUGUGGUCGCACGGUGGCUGGCAAUAACAAAUAGAAGAAGAAAGAGAUACAUUCCCAAGAGCUUGUAUAAAAAUAGGUCCUCCCCUUGUAUCAUGGUUUCCAGUGCCCCAGUAUAGCAUUGUUGCACUCCAAUCUUUGAGGCUCCAAAGAUUUAUAGUUUGACCGAGCAGUAUAGCUUGACAAUCACUGCCACCAGGGGGGAGGCGCUUCUAGCUGUAAGAGUUGCUUGAUCAACAGUUGGAAAGGGAUCAUAUCAAAUGUUCCACAAAUCCAGUUAGCAAUGUCUUGUUUCGUCCCAACCUUGUGCGUUCCAGAGGAUGCACAAAGUGACAAGGUGGUCUAGGGAUCGCUGUUUUCGAAAGCUGGUGCGUUUGGAAAAAUAAAUAAAAUUAUUCUCCAACAAGGAUCAAGAAAUCUUGUAUGCUUUGACCUUGUGCCACCCAAGCAGGGGCGAACUAUCGAACUCAUUGAGACUGAUCCAACAGCUCGACUUGGAAAUCGCAGAAGUGUCAUCCAGUCAGGCCUUGAGCAUUGAUCUUGCCCGCAUCCACAACCUGCAGAAGCCUUGGGCAAGAGAGCCAAGCGGGAAAAGACAUGUUGUUGCUGUUAAACUCACUCUCAGACACUCACAAAACUCUUGGGGCCAUUGGAUUUCCCAGCUGGCCACAAGAACCACAAGAAACCCCAUGGCAAGGGCGUCGGGAACAUGUUGUAGCCCCAUAUGCCUCACAAGGGGAUUCCCCACAUGCCAAGGACAGUAAUAAACUCAAGAAAUAAAGAUCACUAUUGCUAUUGGUUUGUCCAGUAUCUUCAUGAAGAUACUUAUUGAAAAGGAAGUCUCCACCGAAAACAUGAUAGACAAGGAUGACUCUAUGACAGUCGACUGGGCUCAUGUCAUAGAGAGUGUAUAUCUCAACACAACAUACACACUUGCUUUUUUCACAAAACAGCUCUUAGGAACUUAGUAUCUUAAGAACUGCCUCAACUCCUCUGGAUGCCCACAAAACCCUCAAGUGUCAUUGCUCUUGCGGGGGACAACACCUGCUUGCAAGCUGGGAUCUUUGGCUAUGGUGGAGAGUAUUCUACUGGAUCUGGCAUCGCACUUCUCACCCCAAGACUGCCUUCCGGGAAAACAUUCGAGUGACAAUACCUUUCUUGUUUGGAUUCAAACUUGGCCUGCUAAUCGACAAACGUGAAAGAAAACACAAGGAAAAGACACAGGCCGCCGUGUCCAAAGUUUCUCACUGAUAAGUAGCAAUUGAUUCAGAAACAUUUAUGAAAAUUACCACGUUAUGAAUAGUGUUUUAACCUAUGCAAAUGCCCAUACCAGCCGCGUCCAAAACGUUCGGAACAAAUCAAACGCGGCGUGCGACGCGGACAGCGGCCUUGCGUUGACCAUGUCGCUAUUGGCCAAUACAACCCUUACAAAUAUCUCCUCUUCCACUCUCAAAAGAUCGAUCGCUUCUGAUCAAGAGCAAGACCACCAUGGCCUACACUUACACCCCGCAAGGCCAUCCAACGCAGCAGUAUCAAGGACAGCAGCAAGGAUUCACCAGCGAAGGCCAUCCCGUUGCCCCUCCUGCUGCUUAUCCCCAGCCUCCGCCUGGUAAUUAUUAUGGACCUGGAGUGGCAACCAUGGCACCCCCGAAUUCUGGCCUCUGGACAACGGGCCUCUGUGGAUGCACUGAGGACUGCCCCUCUUGUAAGUUUUUUUUUUUUUCGUGAAAAAGAGUUCUUUUUGUGCAACUUGCAUGAUUGACUGAGUGAUCUCUUUAAAUCUGCUUUCUGUUCUUUGAUCCUAGAUCUGGUUUGUAGCAGACUUCCAGAUAGAUAAGAUAUCCGUUCGACAUUUCUUAAAAUUUAUUUGAUCAAUCCUCUCCAUCUGGUGUAACCACAGGCUGGUGUGCGUUGUGCUGCCCCUGCGUUCUUGUUGGGCGCAUGGCCAACAUUCUGGAUCAAGGCAUGACCUGUGAGUAUUCAACUUUGAGAUAAACUAUAUCCCAAACGUUUUUUUUUUUUUUUGAUGUUCCACUCACGAUUCUGCUUGGAUUUGUGAUCCAAUGUUGUAGCUGUCUUCACCGGAGCCGCCAUCUUUUGCAUCGUGCAGUGGUUCACCGGCUGUGGCUGCCUCUACAGCUGCCUGUACCGUGCAAAGCUGCGCCACAAGUACGGACUCCCCGAGGAGCCCUGCAACGACAUCUGCACCGACUGCUGGUGCAACUGCUGCUCCAUUGCCCAGGCUUACAGGGAGCUCAGGAACCGCAACAUCAACCCGGCUCUGGGUAUGAUUUCUGGGGCCUUGGUGAUCUUUGUUUCCUGAUUUCUGAAAAUGGAGAUUUUUCAGGGUACGAGUUUGCGAGGGCGGUGUACGAGCAGCCACCUCAAGUGCAGGAGAUGCGCAAAAUGUGAGCUACGGAAAUUAGUUCUUAAAAUCUUCAACCUGAAAAUGCUUCUUCGGGGCUUUUCAAGAAUGCCAUGUUGCAUACGUUACCUCCGGAUUUCUUCCUUGUGCCAUUGGAAAAUAAUACAAGCCCAAGUUUGUGAAAAUUUCUAAACAUCUCAUCUAGAAUUAUUUAAUGUCCUGGGGCGUUUCAAGAAUGCCAUGUUGCAUACGUUACCUCCGGAUUUCUUCCUCGUGACAUUGGAAAAUAAUACA
rnacentral:lncRNA from 1 species